rnacentral:rRNA from 1 species
AUUGAACGCUGGCGGCAGGCCUAACACAUGCAAGUCGAGCGGAGCGGCGGACGGGUGAGUAAUGCCUAGGAAUCUGCCUGGUAGUGGGGGAUAACGUAGGGAAACGGGCGCUAAUACCGCAUACUAUCAAAUGAGCCUAGGGCGGAUUAGUUAGUUGGUGGGGUAAAGGCCUACAAAGGCGAAGAACCGUAACUGGUCUGCGAGGAUGAUCAGUCACACUGGAACUGAGACACGGUCCAGACUCCUACGGGAGGCAGCAGUGGGGAAUAUUGUACAAUGGGCGAAAUCCUGAGCCAGCCAUGCCGCGUGUGUGAAGAAGGUCUUCGGAUUGUAAAGCACUUUAAGUUGGGAGGCGUUACCAACAGAAUAAGCACCGGCUAACUUCGUGCCAGCCGCCGCGGUAAUUC